UACGGAGGGGGCUAGCGUUGUUCGGAAUUACUGGGCGUAAAGGGCUCGUAGGUGGCCAACUAAGUCAGACGUGAAAUCCCUCGGCUUAACCGGGGAACUGCGUCUGAUACUGGAUGGCUUGAGUUUGGGAGAGGGACGCGGAAUUCCAGGUGUAGCGGUGAAAUGCGUAGAUAUCUGGAGGAACACCGGUGGCGAAGGCGGCGUCCUGGACCAAUACUGACACUGAGUGAGCGAAAGCCAGGGGAGCAAACGGG
rnacentral:rRNA from 1 species